UGCCGGGUAUCAUGCACAGUGACUCCAAAUACAGAUCCCCUGUAUGCUCUAACUCUAAUGGAGAAACAUGAUCUAAGUCAACUACCUGUUAUACUAGGGGAUGUGGAGGAUGAAGGCAUCCAUCCUGUGGGCAUUUUGGACAGAGAAUGCAUCAAUGUAGCUUGCAGGUAAUAAGAGUGAUUUAAACUUGCGGGAAUAUAGGAUGUUGGAGCAAAGUUAGUGAUUCUGAAGCAACUCAUGAGAUUCUGAAAACUGGCUGUAGGAUCAUUUACCUUUGUAAUAAUUUUGUUUAAGCUUAAAGUGCGAUUUUCUCUUUGAUUGACGUUUCAAAAGUUGUCAAACAUUUUAGCCAGAUUUGAAAUCAUAAUUGAAUACUCAAUGCUGCAAUUUAUUGUUGUCA